rnacentral:rRNA from 1 species
CCUACGGGAGGCAGCAGUGAGGAAUAUUGGUCAAUGGACGAGAGUCUGAACCAGCCAAGUAGCGUGAAGGAUGACUGCCCUAUGGGUUGUAAACUUCUUUUAUAUGGGAAUAAAAUGUUCCACGUGUGGGAUUUUGUAUGUACCAUAUGAAUAAGGAUCGGCUAACUCCGUGCCAGCAGCCGCGGUAAUACGGAGGAUCCGAGCGUUAUCCGGAUUUAUUGGGUUUAAAGGGAGCGUAGGUGGAUUUUUAAGUCAGUUGUGAAAGUUUGGGGCUCAACCGUAAAAUUGCAGUUGAAACUGGCAGUCUUGAGUACAGUAGAGGUGGGCGGAAUUCGUGGUGUAGCGGUGAAAUGCUUAGAUAUCACGAAGAACUCCGAUUGCGAAGGCAGUUCACUGGACUGCAACUGACACUGAGGCUCGAAAGUGUGGGUAUCAAACAGGAUUAGAUACCCCAGUAGUC